rnacentral:rRNA from 1 species
UGAGGAGGAUCAUUCACAAUGAGUGUUGGCUAUCAUUAUAAAAUUUUCAUAUAUUAA